AAACUUACAUGGCGUAGCUGUAAACCGUGAUCACGAAGACGGUUACGCCAGGGCGAGGCUUGGUCAGUGCACCUUCGGUCAAGUCGACCUCUGUGAAUAUUUCAAACUGAAAUAUUUCAUACGUCCAAUUUUUGGUAGCCGGGACAAGCAUUGUCGCAUUGUCCCGA